rnacentral:rRNA from 1 species
AUUGAACGCUGGCGGCAUGCCUUACACAUGCAAGUCGAACGGUAACGCGGGGCAACCUGGCGACGAGUGGCGAACGGGUGAGUAACGCAUCGGAACGUGCCCAAUAGUGGGGGAUAGCCCGGCGAAAGCCGGAUUAAUACCGCAUACGACCUACGGGUGAAAGCAGGGGAUCGCAAGACCUUGCGCUAAUGGAGCGGCCGAUGUCAGAUUAGGUUGUUGGUGAGGUAAAAGCCCACCAAGCCGACGAUCUGUAGCUGGUCUGAGAGGACGACCAGCCACACUGGGACUGAGACACGGCCCAGACUCCUACGGGAGGCAGCAGUGGGGAAUUUUGGACAAUGGGCGCAAGCCUGAUCCAGCCAUGCCGCGUGCGGGAUGAAGGCCUUCGGGUUGUAAACCGCUUUUGUUAGGGAAGAAAUCGUUUGAGCUAAUACCUCGGAAGGAUGACGGUACCUAAAGAAUAAGCACCGGCUAACUACGUUACAGCCGCCGCCGUAAGAC